rnacentral:rRNA from 1 species
CCUACGGGAGGCAGCAGUGAGGAAUAUUGGUCAAUGGCCGUAAGGCUGAACCAGCCAAGUCGCGUGAAGGAAGAAGGAUCUAUGGUUUGUAAACUUCUUUUAUAGGGGAAUAAAGGUAUCCACGUGUGGAUAUUUGCAUGUACCCUAUGAAUAAGCAUCGGCUAACUCCGUGCCAGCAGCCGCGGUAAUACGGAGGAUGCGAGCGUUAUCCGGAUUUAUUGGGUUUAAAGGGUGCGUAGGUUGUUUUUUAAGUCAGCGGUGAAAGUUUGUGGCUCAACCAUAAAAUUGCCGUUGAAACUGGAAGACGUGAGUGUGUUUGAGGUAGGCGGAAUGCGUGGUGUAGCUGUGAAAUGCAUAGAUAUCACGCAGAACUCCGAUUGCGAAGGCAGCUUACUAAGCCAUAACUGACACUGAAGCACGAAAGCGUGGGGAUCAAACAGGAUUAGAUACCCGUGUAGUC